UGCCGAGUCGUCUAAUGGUAGGACAACGGACUUUGGAUCCGUUUAUUCUGGUUCGAAUCCAGGCUCGGCAGCCA
rnacentral:tRNA from 1 species